UGACACGGCACUGUUUGACAGAGCUUCUUAAAAGUAUCACUAGGAGAUGCUUCGAUUAAUUUGAAGUUGCUCGAGUAAAGAUGAUAAUAUUAGGAAAACAUUGUUUUCCUAUUGAAUACAAAUACUUCAAAGACAUCCCUCGAAUUUUACUCGUUGGACGACAAAGGAGAACUGAUCCAGGAAAUCGUCCAAGUCAAUAAAAAGAUCAUAUAUGUUAAUAUAAAAAAAGACAACAACCACGAGAUGAACAUUUUAAAGUAUUGAAAUUUUUAAUUAAAAUUAUUUUACGUUUCUUGCGUGUUACGAUCUUCGUAAUAUUUGUGCGAAUGUAUUAUUUUUUAAAUAUUAGUAUAUCGUAUUCCGUAUACAUUAAAGAUUGUUUAAAUAAUUGGAAUAUUAUCGAAAGUAAAAUUUUAUAAUAUUUCACGUUUCUUCGAUUUUGUUUACAUACUUAGACAACGAGCGCGCUUGUAAAUUUUUAUUCUAUUCUAAGCACAUUAAAACAUCCGUACAAGUAAUGAACGGUAAAUGCGUAUCCUUGCGUUUAUUUGGAUAAGAAAAUUUCAUCAUAAAUUUACAUACAUAAAGAACGAAACAAUCAUCUAUUCUACAAAAACAAAACACUCAAUAUUUAUUUGUAAAUCAUCAAUAGCGUAGUGAGAGGUUUGUCUCUUUUACCGCAGAGUUUAGGGGCGCCACUAUAAAUGUCGAAAAAUGUCGAAAAACCCAACUGCGAGUCCAAUCUUGAUUACAAUAUGUUCUCGUCGUACGACACUUUGGUCUAUUUAAACGUUUAUUCAAACGUUCAGACGUAGAAAAUUUGUUCCAAUUAUUUGAUGUUCGAUCCUGGCUGUCAUUUAUUUAGGUUAGAGCAAUUGGAUUAGGCUCGAAAAUGAUAUGGUUUUAAUAUAACUCGCUUUUAGAUAGAAGAGAUGCACAAAUAUAAAGGCAUUAAGUGCAGAAAGAAGUAAAUAUCCCAAUAAUAAAUCACAUAGACUGGUGCACUCUACCUUCCCAAUCCUGAAGCUGUUCGCAUGAAAUCAUCCGCAUGAGGUUGUGACCAGAGCAGCAAUAAUAACAUGUUAUUUAUGAUGCAUUUAAUGCAGGGAUAUCAGAAAAAUAUAUCAAAUAGAAGAGAUAAAAAUAUAGCUUCUGUAAAUAUGUAUCAAUCGAAUCAAUUGCGAAGAUAAAUACAAUGAAUGCUCGGAUGUAAUAGAAUUUUAUGUAAAGUAGAACAAAGGAUCGAAUUCAAAAGGCCUAGACUAACAGUUAAUAAUAAUUUAGUUCACCAUGGAUCUUGGUUAAAAAAAUAAGUCAUAUAUAUAAUGAAAUAAUUUGUUGAUAAUAUCGAAUAUCUAUCAUUUCAUUAGAAAUAUGGCAUAACAAUGUAACAUUAUUUUUAUCUUUUUUACAGCAUAUCGAUGUUAAAAAAAAAAAUCCUGUUGGUCACUAUGAAUAUAUUUCUAAUAUAUAAAUAAUUAAUUACGCCUAGCAAGGAAAUAAAAGUACCC